UACAGAGGGUGCGAGCGUUAAUCGGAAUUACUGGGCGUAAAGCGUGCGUAGACGGUUAUUUAAGUCGGGUGUGAAAGCCCCGGGCUCAACCUGGGAAUUGCAUUCGAGACUGAAUAGCUAGGGUACGGUAGAGGGAAGUGGAAUUUCCGGUGUAGCGGUGAAAUGCGUAGAUAUCGGAAGGAACAUCAGUGGCGAAGGCGGCAUCCUGGACCGAUAUUGACGCUGAUGCGCGAAAGCCAGGGGAGCAAACGGG
rnacentral:rRNA from 1 species